rnacentral:rRNA from 1 species
UACGUAGGGUGCAAGCGUUGUCCGGAAUUAUUGGGCGUAAAGAGCUCGUAGGCGGCUUGUCACGUCGACUGUGAAAACCCGAGGCUCAACCUCGGGCCUGCAGUCGAUACGGGCAGGCUAGAGUUCGGUAGGGGAGACUGGAAUUCCUGGUGUAGCGGUGAAAUGCGCAGAUAUCAGGAGGAACACCGGUGGCGAAGGCGGGUCUCUGGGCCGAAACUGACGCUGAGGAGCGAAAGCAUGGGGAGCGAACAGG